rnacentral:lncRNA from 1 species
CUUCCAAUCAUUUUAAGUACUUUCACAGGGAAAAUAAACAGUUGAGCCCAUUAUGCUUGAAUUCCAAAGAUGACAGAUUGUACCAGUUGUAGCAUCCCAGAGUAUGAUAGUGUUCUACCAGUCCAAGAAGUGAUCCUGGCUGUGAUUUUUCCGCUAAAGGUUGCCACUGUAGUAGAGUGAUUUUUUUUGGUGCUCAGUGGUACUCCCAGAUACUUGAAAGGCAGUUGGCCUUGUUCAUAGCCAAAGCAAUUCUGCUAAAAGACCUCAUACCCCAGCAAGACAUUGGUAGUUUUGGGAAUUUAACCCACAGUCUAUUUCAGUCGGAAAUUCUUCUGAAUAAUCAAACUCUGGUGUCCAUUGUUUGAGAAUCAUCGGCCUAUUGGCUAUUGAGUAAGGGCCAGUAUUCUUGAAAUCCAAAGAUGACAGAUUGCACCAGUUGUAGCCUCCCAGAGAUGACAGUGUUCUAGCAGUCCAAGAAGUGAUCCUGGCUGUGAUUUUUUCCACUAAAGGUUGCCACUGUAGUAGAGUGAUUUUUUUUGGUGCUCAGUGGUACUCCCAGAUACUUGAAAGGCAGUUGGCCUUGUUCAUAGCCAAGAUGGUCGAGGAUCUGCUUCUGUACAGGUAUUGGUACUCCUCCAAAAUAGACUAAGCUCUUAUUCAAGUUGGCCUUGAGACUUGAGGCUGUAGAGAAUUGGGAGAAGCAGUUGGAUAAUGCCUUGUUAGAUUGGAGGUCUCCCUUGGUAAACAGCAACAAGUCAUUUGCAAAGCACAUAUGUGUAAUGCCCAGUUUUUUACAUCUGGGGUGGAAUUGAUAUGCUGGAUCAGCUUGUAGUACAGUGCAUGACCUGCUUAAAUACUCCAUGACCAAGGCAAAUAGGAAUGGGUAAAUGGGGUCCCCUUGCCUCAGUCCUCUAGCAGCAGCAAAGGGUACAGUAGGCUCUCCAUUAACUAAAACAGAGUAGCUCACUGUUGAUAUACACUUCCUUGCCUCAGUCCUCUGGCAGCAGCAAAGGGUACAGUAGGCUCUCCAUUAACUAAAACAUAGUAGCUCACUAUUGAUAUACACUCCAUAAUCUAUUUGGUGAAGGUGCUGGGGAAGCCAAUCUGUUCCAUGACUUGCUGUAAGAACACUCAUUCCACUGAAUCAUAUGCUUUCUUGAGAUCUAUUAUAAUCAUGCAUCUGGGGGAGACAUGCUUCCUAGUGUAGCUUUUAACAAGAUCAUGUGCUAGAAUGAUGUUAUCCUGAAUUUUCCUACCCGGAAUGAAACCUGCCUGAGCUUCAUUGAUGAGGCUUGCCAUCACCUUCUGCAGCCUAUUAGCCAGUACUUUGGAGAUGAGUUUGUAUAGGACAGUACAACAGGCAAUAGGCCUAUACUCUUUGACUGAAGUUGGUUUGGACAGUUUAGGGAUGAGGGUAAUAGUUACACAAUUGAUUGGUCUGCACAUUCUUGCUGAGUUGAAAAACUGCUUAAUGGCAGUACUGACUUGGCUACCAAUGAUGCUCCAGCUCUUUUUGAAGAAAACAACAUUGUAUCCAUCUAUUCCUAGUGCUUUGUCAUCUCCAAUAGCUUUGAGACUCUCUGUUAUUUCUGUGUCAGUUACUGGAGCACACAGUUCCUGUCUUUGUUGUUGUGUCAGUUUUGGACCAUUUGACAUGUACAAUUGGUUUAUAACAGGCAGAUUUGUUGCAGCAGUGCCCAUCAGUGCUUUGUAGAAUCCUAGGAUUUCCUCUUUGAUAUCUGUUGGUGCAGUUAGCUUGAUAUAGCAGGCAGAUUUGUUGCAGCAGUGCCCAUCAGUGCUUUGUAGAAUCCUUGGAUUUCCUCUUUGAUAUAUGUUGGUGUAGUUAUCUUGAUUCCCAGUGCAUUGGUAAUCUCAGUGAUCUGAUUCUGCUGACUUCUGUCCUUCAUUACUGCAGUAAAGUACUUGGUGUUGGAGUCUUCAAGUUGUAUCCACUUUGCUCUUGCCUUCUGUUGCAGGACACUCUCUUCAAUCAGUGACCAUUUUUCUAAUUGUAUGAUCACUUCUUUCUCCUUCUGUUGUAGUGCAUCACUGUAGGCCUGGCUCAAUUGUUUUUGUAUGGUUCCCAGUUCCUGUCUAGUUUGGUCAAUUCAGUAUGUAAUUGUUUUGAAUUCCUUGCUAUUGAGUAUCUUCAAAGAAGUCUUCAAAGCAUUAUCUCUGUCCCAUAUUGAUUUCAUAGUAUCUGUCCUCCCCUUUUGCCAAACAGUUGUCACAAUGUGUUGGAAAUCCCUGUGUUCAGCCCAUACAUUGAAGAAUUUGAAAUGCCUCUUCCCUUGCCAUGUGGAUGAAAUGUGUUGGAAAUCUUUAUGAUCAGCCUAUACAUUAAAGAAUUUGAAGUUCCUCUUCCCAUGCCAGGAGGAUGCAUUCAGUGUCAGAAUCAUUGGGUUAUGGUCUGAGAUUAAGGGUACAUCAUAAUCAGUGACCACCUGGUUCCAAUUGAUCAUCCAUUCAUAAUUGCCGAACACUCUAUCAAGCCUGCUGCAUACUCUGUCCACACCAGUUUGCUUAUUUGUCCAUGUGUCGUAGUCACCUCUCCAGGGCAAUUCUGUCAGUCCAUCAAGUUGUAUGCAAUUGUUAAAGUCCAGUGUUUCUAGUAAUCUGACUGGCUUGCAAGAUUGUCUGUUUUUGUCACACAAGACUGCAUUGAAAUCCCAGCAACAACCCAUGGUUCUUUGAUUCCUAUUUCCAAAGUUUGUAAGCUGCUCCAUAAAGUUCUUCUCUGCUCUAGCCCAUUAAACCCAUAAAUCACAGUGAGGAAACAUGUUAAGUCCCAUGUUCUGCUGGAAACCCUGCUGUGGAUCAACUAGCUUUCCUCCAGAACACUAGUGACUGUGAAAAUUUCUGGAUUUCAUAGGAUCCAUACUCUCCCCUUUUCACCUGAGACAUAGUUUGUUAAGACACCCCAACCUGGUGCUAGUAGAUUAGCAAUUCUACUAGCAUGUGCUUGCUUAACUUUUGUUUCUACUAACAUAGUUUGUUAAGACACCCAACCUGGUGCUAGUAGAUUAGCAAUUCUACUAGCAUGUGCUUGCUUAACUUCUGUUUCUACUAGUCCUACUAGGUUAAUGUUGUUUUCCUAAUGUAUUCCCUAAAUUCUUUCUGCUUGUACCUCUUAUUUACACCUCUUAUGUUCCACACUAACACUUCAUUGGUAAGAUGUUGAUGUAGAGUUCCCAAUCUCCCCCGGAGGUUCAUCUUUACUACUAGAUACUGCUGCAAAUCUGUUACUCACAGUGAUGGGNNNNNNNNNNNNNNNNNNNNNNNNNNNNNNNNNNNNNNNNNNNNNNNNNNNNNNNNNNNNNNNNNNNNNNNNNNNNNNNNNNNNNNNNNNNNNNNNNNNNNNNNNNNNNNNNNNNNNNNNNNNNNNNNNNNNNNNNNNNNNNNNNNNNNNNNNNNNNNNNNNNNNNNNNNNNNNNNNNNNNNNNNNNUCAUUAAAAUAAUAAAACUCAACACUUUUGUAGGUAGUGCUUUGGUCACAGUCACCUCAAUGAGCAUUCUGGCAUAGAAUAUCCUUGUCUGUUUUGUAGUACACUCAUCUGCAAAGAUUGGCUUGCCUAGUUACGCUAGCAAUUCUGCUAAAAGACCUCAUCCCUUCAAUUGAAAAUUCGAAGUAAAGACUGAAUAUGAAAAAACCUCAUACCCCAGCAAGACAUUGGUAGUUUUGGGAAUUUUACCUACAGUGGAAUUUCAAUUGGAAAUUCUUCUGAAAAAUCAAACUCAGGUGUCCAUUGUUUGAGAAUCAUUGGCCUAUUGGCUAUUGAGUAAGGACCAGCACACAAUACCUCUUUGGCAUCAGCCACUGUCUUGAAUUUUACAAUGUAGUAUCCUUCAUCAUGGUAGAACAAAUCUGGUUCAGGGACAUGGGACCAGCGAUGGUUUAUGAAUCUUCUCAUUGCGUUGAAUCUAGGACCAUCACCUAGGAUGUAUACCACUAAUGCACACAUCCACUUGGCUUCCUCCUCCUCCACCUCUGCUCGUUCCAGUUGUACUAUGGGCUUUCCUUCAACUAU